rnacentral:misc_RNA from 1 species
UCUCCCGUGAGGGAGCAGUCUCGCCUGGCCAUAUAGGCAACAGGCAACGGGGGUUGCGUUCGUUACCCCACUGAAGGGAACAGUUCAAACCACGAACUGACGACGACCAUGCAUCACCUGUCCAGCACCCUCGAAGGCUCUCACCCUUUCGGGCGAGAUGCAGCUGGAUUUCUAACCUUGGUAAGGUUCUUCGUUUGCCGACGAAUUGAGCCACAUAAUCCACCGCUUGUGCGAGUCCCCGUCUAUUCCUUUGAGUUUUAAUCUUGCGAUCGUACUACCCAGGCGGCUCGCUUACCGCGUUAGCUUAGCCCCACAGAGGGUCGAUACUCCGUAGAGCGAGCGAGCAACGUUGAGGGCCAGGACUA